rnacentral:tRNA from 1 species
GCGGGGCUGACACCACUUACCCAGGGUCUGAUACCACCCCCCCCCACUCGCGGAUUCAGCUUCCCAAGCUGAGGGUUGAGAGUUCGAGUCUCUUCGCCCGCU